rnacentral:rRNA from 1 species
UUGAACGCUGGCGGCAGGCCCUAACACAUGCAAGUCGAGCGGAUGAGGGGUGCUUGCACCCCGAUUCAGCGGCGGACGGGUGAGUAAUGCCUAGGAAUCUGCCCGAUAGUGGGGGACAACGUUUCGAAAGGAACGCUAAUACCGCAUACGUCCUACGGGAGAAAGUGGGGGCUCUUCGGACCUCACGCUAUCGGAUGAGCCUAGGUCGGAUUAGCUAGUUGGUGGGGUAAAGGCCCACCAAGGCGACGAUCCGUAACUGGUCUGAGAGGAUGAUCAGUCACACUGGAACUGAGACACGGUCCAGACUCCUACGGGAGGCAGCAGUGGGGAAUAUUGGACAAUGGGCGAAAGCCUGAUCCAGCCAUGCCGCGUGUGUGAAGAAGGUCUUCGGAUUGUAAAGCACUUUAAGUUGGGAGGAAGGGCUGUAAGUUAAUACCUUGCAGUUUUGACGUUACCGACAGAAUAAGCACCGGCUAACUUCGUGCCAGCAGCCGCGGUAAUACGAAGGGUGCAAGCGUUAAUCGGAAUUACUGGGCGUAAAGCGCGCGUAGGUGGUUUGGUAAGUUGGAUGUGAAAGCCCCGGGCUCAACCUGGGAACUGCAUCCAAAACUGCCUGACUAGAGUACGGUAGAGGGUGGUGGAAUUUCCUGUGUAGCGGUGAAAUGCGUAGAUAUAGGAAGGAACACCAGUGGCGAAGGCGACCACCUGGACUGAUACUGACACUGAGGUGCGAAAGCGUGGGGAGCAAAACAGGAUUAGAUACCCUGGUAGUCCCACGCCGUAAACGAUGUCGACUAGCCGUUGGGCUCCUUGAGAGCUUAGUGGCGCAGCUAACGCAUUAAGUCGACCGCCUGGGGAGUACGGCCGCAAGGUUAAAACUCAAAUGAAUUGACGGGGGCCCGCACAAGCGGUGGAGCAUGUGGUUUAAUUCGAAGCAACGCGAAGAACCUUACCUGGCCUUGACAUCCUGCGAACUGGGUAGAGAUACCUGGGUGCCUUCGGGAGCGCAGAGACAGGUGCUGCAUGGCUGUCGUCAGCUCGUGUCGUGAGAUGUUGGGUUAAGUCCCGUAACGAGCGCAACCCUUGUCCUUAGUUACCAGCACGUCAUGGUGGGCACUCUAGGGAGACUGCCGGUGACAAACCGGAGGAAGGUGGGGAUGACGUCAAGUCAUCAUGGCCCUUACGGCCAGGGCUACACACGUGCUACAAUGGUCGGUACAGAGGGUUGCCAAGUCGCGAGGCGGAGCUAAUCCCAGAAAAACCGAUCGUAGUCCGGAUCGCAGUCUGCAAACUCGACUGCGUGAAGUCGGAAUCGCUAGUAAUCGCGAAUCAGAAUGUCGCGGUGAAUACGUUCCCGGGCCUUGUACACACCGCCCGUCAAGUCAUGGGAGCCGGAAAAUAGCCGAAGCCGCCACACCACUGUGGUGUCUACGCUAGGUUCGGUGACUGGGACUAAGUCGUAA